rnacentral:ncRNA from 1 species
GAUUUGGUCGCCUCAUAGGCGUGUGAAAGGGAAUCAGGUGCAAGUCCUGAACAGUCCCGCUGCUGUGAGCUUAAUAAUUUGCCAAUCAAUAUUAUAGUCACUGUAUAUCGCCAUAGAUAUAUGGGAAGGCUGAGCGGCAAAAAGCAAGUCAGAAUACCUGCCAAAUCUGAA